UUUUGUAGAAUGAGCCAACGAGUGAUUGGGCGUAGCGAGGUUAAGGCAGCGUACAGCUGGAGCCGGAGCGAAAGCGAGUCCGAAAGGGCGUCAAGUUGCGUUCAGUUGACCCGAAACCGGGUGAUCUACCCUUGGGCAGGGUGAAGCGCGCGGAACACGCGCGUGGAGGCCCGAACCCGUGUCUGUUACAAAAGGCAGGGAUGACCUGAGGGUAGGGGUGAAAUGCCAAGCGAACCCGGAGAUAGCUGGUUCUCCCCGAAAGCUAUUUAGGUAGCGCCUCGGACGAAUACCACAGGGGGUAGAGCACUGUUUCGGCUAGGGGGUCAUCCCGACUUACCAACCCGAUGCAAACUCCGAAUACCUGUGAGUACUAUCCGGGAGACACACGGUGGGU
rnacentral:rRNA from 13 species